rnacentral:rRNA from 1 species
AGAGUUUGAUCAUGGCUCAGAACGAACGCUGGCGGCAGGCCUAACACAUGCAAGUCGAGCGCCCUCGCAAGAGGGAGCGGCGGACGGGUGAGUAACGCGUGGGAAUUUUCCUCAAGGUACGGAACAACUCAGGGAAACUUGGGCUAAUACCGUAUGAUGUCUAGCGACCAAAGAUUUAUCGCCUUGGGAUAAGCCCGCGUCAGAUUAGGUAGUUGGUGGGGUAACGGCCUACCAAGCCUGCGAUCUGUAGCUGGUCUGAGAGGACGAUCAGCCACACUGGGACUGAGACACGGCCCAGACUCCUACGGGAGGCAGCAGUGGGGAAUCUUGCGCAAUGGGCGAAAGCCUGACGCAGCCAUGCCGCGUGAAUGAUGAAGGUCUUAGGAUUGUAAAGUUCUUUCGCUCGUGACGAUGAUGACGGUAACGAGAGAAGAAGCCCCGGCUAACUUCGUGCCAGCAGCCGCGGUAAUACGAAGGGGGCUAGCGUUGUUCGGAAUUACUGGGCGUAAAGCGCGCGUAGGCGGUUUUGCAAGCCAGAGGUGAAAUGCCUGAGCUCAACUUAGGAAUUGCCUUUGGGACUGCGAGGCUUUGAGGACUGGAGAGGUGAGUGGAAUUCCCAGUGUAGAGGUGAAAUUCGUAGAUAUUGGGAAGAACACCAGUGGCGAAGGCGGCUCACUGGCCAGUUUCUGACGCUGCAGCGCGAAAGCGUGGGGAUCAAACAGGAUUAGAUACCCUGGUAGUCCACGCUGUAAACGAUGAGUGCUAGGCGUCGGCACGCUUGCGUGUCGGUGCCGCAGCUAACGCGUGAAGCACUCCGCCUGGGGAGUACGGUCGCAAGAUUAAAACUCAAAGGAAUUGACGG